UGGAAUUGUUAUAUUCCAUACUUCUGUGUAAUGCGAUGAGAGGACGGAGAAGGUUAAGUCAGCCUGGCGUUGGUUGUCCAGGUGGAAGGUUGUAGGCAUGUAUCUUAGGCAAAUCCGGGGUACUCUAUGCUGAGAACUGAUAGCAAGCUGUACUUGUACAGUGAAGUGGCUGACACCAUGCUUCCAGGAAAAGUACUCUAAGCUUCAGUUACACAGGAAUCGUACCCGAAACCGACACAGUGGUCAGGUCGAGUAGACCAAAGCGCUUGAGAGAACUCUGCUGAAGGAACUAGGCAAAAUGGUACCGUAACUUCGGGAGAAGGUACGCUGCUGACGGUGAUGGGACUUGCUCCCUGAGCUAUUGGCAGCCACAGAAAACCAGGCCGCUGCAACUGUUUAUUAAAAACAUAGCACUCUGCAAACACGAAAGUGGACGUAUAGGGUGUGAUGCCUGCCCGGUGCUGGAAGGUUAA
rnacentral:rRNA from 1 species